CUUCAAAGCCUUUUCCAU
rnacentral:piRNA from 1 species